CUCCGACAGACGCCGCCGAGCUCCUCUCAGCGAGCCCUCAGCGCCGCCCGCCGGCGCCCGCUCCGCAGCCGUCCGGCCGGGCGCGCCCAGGGUGCCGUACGUGGAUGGAAAAUUUUGCUGCAGGUGUCAGAAGCAUUUGUAAUUCUCCGGCUCAGGGAAAGAAUCCGACGAACGUGCAAGAGUAAUAAAGCCUGCAAAUGCUAGUUAUCGAAAGGCCCAAAAAGUCGGCCUGGUGCCAAAGUGUGUACACAGUUGCCGUGAUCACUUUGGCUCCCAGCCCCUAUAUUUUUGUUACCAAAGAUUCAAUACAAAUGUUACUACCUACACAAGCGAAAGAGGUCCAAAUAAUUUUUAGACUACAUUAUUUUCCUAUUCUCCUAUCAUGAUCCCAUCGUUAAUAUACAGAUGUUUACUGAAAAGAUGCUAAUAUGCUAAAUACUAGUAAUUACUACUAAGACCAAUAAAGCAGCAGCUGUAUCUUUGAUAGAUGAAAGAAUUGGAAAGGAAAUGAAGGAAUUCUGAAGAGAUUAAUGAUUUGAAAGGAUGGGUGAUAGGGCCAUUCGGGAAUAGAAAGAAGAAAGGGAAGAAGUAAAUGGAUGAGAGAUACAGGGAAACAAUCCUGAAGAAUUUCUACAGUUCAACAGCACUAUUGUUUUCCAAUCAAAUGACUUAGAUCCUGCUUCCCAGGGAGCAUAGUGAAGAAAA